UACGGGGGGAGCAAGCGUUGUUCGGAUUUACUGGGCGUAAAGGGCGCGUAGGCGGCCACCGCAAGUCGACUGUGAAAUCUCCGGGCUUAACCCGGAAAGGUCAGCCGAUACUGCGGGGCUAGAGUGCAGAAGGGGCAACUGGAAUUCUCGGUGUAGCGGUGAAAUGCGUAGAUAUCGAGAGGAACACCUGUGGCGAAAGCGGCUCACUGGACCACAACUGACGCUGAGGCGCGAAAGCUAGGGGAGCGAACGGG
rnacentral:rRNA from 1 species